UGAGUACGAGAUGCUACGGCAUCGAAGCAGUCUAUGUCAUACUUCCAAGAAAAGCUUGCAAUGUCAUAAACAAAUAAUGCCUGUACCAUAACCGACACAGGUGGGUAGGUAGAGUAUACUAAGGGGCGCGAGAUAACUCUCUCUAAGGAACUCGGCAAAAUGACUCCGUAACUUCGGGAGAAGGAGUGCCUUAUUUUUAUAAGGUUGCAAUAACAAGAUCCAAGCAACUGUUUACCAAAAACACAGGUCUCCGCUAAGUCGUAAGACGAUGUAUGGGGGCUGACGCCUGCCCAGUGCCAGAAGGUUAAAGAAGUUGGUUAGCAUUAGCGAAGCUGAUAACUGAAGCCCUGGUGAACGGCGGCCGUAACAAUAAUGGUCCUAAGGUAGCGAAAUUCCUUGUCGGGUAAGUUCCGACCCGCACGAAAGGCGUAAUGAUUUGGAUACUGUCUCGGAGAGGGGCUCGGUGAAAUAGACUUGUCUGUGAAGAUGCGGACUACCUGCACCUGGACAGAAAGACCCUAUGAAGCUUUACUGUAACUUGAGAUUGAAAUUGGACUUUAUCUGCGCAGUAUAGGUGGGAGACGUUGAAAAUAUUCUUGCGGGAAUAUUGGAGUCAUCAGUGAGAUACCACUCUUAUAAUGUUAGAUUUCUAACUUUGUAUCAUUAUCUGGUCAAAGAACAGUUUCAGGCGGGCAGUUUGACUGGGGCGGUCGCCUCCCAAACGGUAACGGAGGCGCACAAAGGUUUCCUCUGAACGUGUAGAAAUCGUAUCUAGAGUGUAAAGGCAUAAGGAAGCUUGACUGUGAGACCUACAAGUCGAGCAGGGACGAAAGUCGGUCUUAGUGAUCUGACGGUGCUGAGUGGAAAGGCCGUCACUCAACGGAUAAAAGUUACUCUAGGAUAACAGGCUGAUCUCCCCCAAGAGUUCACAUCGACGGGGAGGUUUGGCACCUCGAUGUCGGCUCAUCGCAUCCUGGGGCGGUAGUACGUCCCAAGGGUUGGGCUGUUCGCCCAUGAAAGCGGUACGCGAGCUGGGUUCAGAACGUCGUGAGACAGUUCGGACCAUAUCCGGUGUAGGCGUUAGAAUAUUGAGAGGAGCCUUCUUUAGUACGAGAGGACCGAGAAGGACGUACCUCUGGUGUACCAGUUAUCGUGCCAACGGUAAACGCUGGGUAGCCAUGUAUGGAGAGGAUAACCGCUGAAAGCAUCUAAGUGGGAAGCCCACCUCAAGAUAAGUAUUCUCAUC
rnacentral:rRNA from 1 species